UGGGGAAUCUUGGACAAUGGGCGCAAGCCUGAUCCAGCCAUGCCGCGUGGAUGAUGAAGGCCUUAGGGUUGUAAAAUCCUUUCAACGGGGACGAUAAUGACGGUACCCGUAGAAGAAGCCCCGGCUAACUUCGUGCCAGCAGCCGCGGUAAUACGAAGGGGGCUAGCGUUGCUCGGAAUUACUGGGCGUAAAGCGCACGUAGGCGGAUAUUUAAGUCGGAGGUGAAAUCCCAGGGCUCAACCCUGGAACUGCCCUCGAUACUGGGUAUCUGGACCAAAGUAGAGGUAAGUGGAAUUCCGAGUGUAGAGGUGAAAUUCGUAGAUAUUCGGAGGAACACCAGUGGCGAAGGCGACUUACUGGACUUUUGGUGACGCUGAGGUGCGAAAGCGUGGGGAGCAAACAGG
rnacentral:rRNA from 1 species